CUCAUCUCCUUUAAGAUCAAAUGGCUGGCAGUGGUGAUUAUGGGAGUGGUGUUACAGGGAGCCAAUCUCUACGGAUAUGUGCGCUGCAAAGUAGGAGCCAGAACAAACCUGAAGAACAUGGCCACAAAUUACCUUGGACGGCAGUUUCUCAAACAGGCUUUCACAAAACAAGAGGAGUCUUAGGAAGACAGAAUUCACGCCAGUUCCAUUGAUGAACUUCUAAUGCGUUAUUUUUUAAGAAAUUAAAUGAACUAAAAUGGUUACUGAUUUCUUUGAUUUAUUAAUUUUUUUUGUUAACCACAUCCUGUUAAAUAAUGUGUUUGACAUUUUAAAUACCUUUAACUUUAUAGUUUUUGUUUAAUAUCUAACUCAGAGUUCAGAGUAUGUGUUUUGUUAUAUAAUAUUGCAUGACAUCAUGCAUUAUGCUUCUAAAAAAGAUGUACAUAUUUAUAUACUGCUGUAAAUUACUGUAUACUUUCUUUAGGUACAUUUAGGAAAGUUGAUGAUUGAAUGAUUGAUUGUAUCUCAUGUUCAGUGAAUUUACGAAAUAAAUGAAGUUUUGUGUAAAACUGGAGCCACACUGAAUCUCAGGCCAGUGAAGUCACCCACAAACACCACACUGUCAAAGUCAAGUCCCUUUUAUA